AAAAAUAUAAGCAAAUGAAAUAAAUUUCUCCAAAAAUCAACACAAUUGGCUUAAUUGAAAACACAGAAUUUAGAAUAACCACAGCAUAGAAAACAAAUUCCAGAUUCAAGCAUAUACUUUGAGACACGCUAGUUGGGUUAGCUUAUGCUUUGGAAUAUUUUAAGGACUAUUAUAAUGAAGGAAACUAAGUCCAACUUUAAGGAAUUAUAUGCUUUUUAAUGUCUUUCCCAGUGCUAAACAGUAAAUGAAAAAGGUGAUCAAGCUUUGGCAGAGACUUGUAUGUUUGGUAUGAUAGAGAAAAUCAAUGAUGCUUGACCAAACAGACACCUUAAAAUGCUUCUAAAUCUUGCAUAUACUCCAUAAGCACAAAAUGAGUAAUCAAAACAAUAUGUAUUAACUUACCAAAAGCACAUUAGAUCACUUCAAACGAAACUUCAAAUAUCAAAUACAAACCUGUACGGGCAGCAUUAUUUCAA
rnacentral:misc_RNA from 1 species